rnacentral:lncRNA from 10 species
CCCACCCCGCACCCCUUUCCCCAUCCCGGCUCCGUCACCCUCCCGUCCCCCACACUCAGGACAAGAAUGCCCUGCCCGGAACAACCCAGCAGCGCCUAGAUGGCUUUGGUCACGGUCCAGCGGUCACCUACCCCCAGCACCACCUCCAGCCCCUGCGCCUCGAGAGCAGAACUGGGAUUCUUGGUUCAGGGAGGCAGAUUUCCAGUGAUUGUAAGGAAGAAUUUGUAACAGUGGAGUGCACUGCCUUGCAAAAUAAGAUGGGGACUUGCUUGGGGUCUUGCUGCCCAGGCUGGUCUUGAACUCGUGGCGUCAAGGGAUCCUCCUGUCUCAGCCUCCUAAAGAAUUGGGAUUAUAGUCAUGAGCCACUGUGACCGGCUACAAUUUUCAAGUCUACAAUAUAUUAUUAUUGACUGUAGAAACCAUAUUGUACAAUAGCUCUUCAUAACUUACUCCUCCUGUCUAAUGGAAACUUUGUACCCUUUGACCAUCAUCUCCUCCCCAUUCUCCCACCAAUCCCCAAUCUGGUGUGAAUUUUCUGAAUUGAUACCUAUAUUGAUCCAGGGUUAAAUAAACAAAGUAUAAUACUA